AUUGAACGCUGGCGGCAUGCUUUACACAUGCAAGCCGAACGGCAGCGCGGGCUUCGGCCUGGCGGCGAGUGGCGAACGGGUGAGUAAUACAUCGGAACGUGCCCAGUAGUGGGGGAUAGCUCGGCGAAAGCCGGAUUAAUACCGCAUACGACCUGAGGGUGAAAGCGGGGGAUCUUCGGACCUCGCGCUAUUGGAGCGGCCGAUGGCAGAUUAGCUAGUUGGUGGGGUAAAGGCCUACCAAGGCGACGAUCUGUAGCUGGUCUGAGAGGACGACCAGCCACACUGGGACUGAGACACGGCCCAGACUCCUACGGGAGGCAGCAGUGGGGAAUUUUGGACAAUGGGCGAAAGCCUGAUCCAGCAAUGCCGCGUGUGUGAUGAAGGCCUUCGGGUUGUAAAGCACUUUUGGCGGGAACGAAAAGGACUGUGCCAAUACCACGGUUCGAUGACGGUACCCGCAGAAUAAGCAUCGGCUAACUACGUG
rnacentral:rRNA from 1 species